rnacentral:rRNA from 1 species
AGUAGCGGCGAGCGAACGGGGAGGAGCCCAGAGCCUGAAUCAGUGUGUGUGUUAGUGGAAGCGUCUGGAAAGGCGUGCGAUACAGGGUGACAGCCUCGUACACAAAAAUGCACAUAUUGUGAGCUCGAUGAGUAGGGCGGGACACGUGGUAUCCUGUCUGAAUAUGGGGGGACCAUCCUCCAAGGCUAAAUACUCCUGACUGACCGAUAGUGAACCAGUACCGUGAGGGAAAGGCGAAAAGAACCCCGGCGAGGGGAGUGAAAAAGAACCUGAAACCGUGUACGUACAAGCAGUGGGAGCCUCUUAAUGGGGUGACUGCGUACCUUUUGUAUAAUGGGUCAGCGACUUAUAUUCUGUAGCAAGGUUAACCGAAUAGGGGAGCCGAAGGGAAACCGAGUCUUAACUGGGCGUUAAGUUGCAGGGUAUAGACCCGAAACCCGGUGAUCUAGCCAUGGGCAGGUUGAAGGUUGGGUAACACUAACUGGAGGACCGAACCGACUAAUGUUGAAAAAUUAGCGGAUGACUUGUGGCUGGGGGUGAAAGGCCAAUCAAACCGGGAGAUAGCUGGUUCUCCCCGAAAGCUAUUUAGGUAGCGCCUCGUGAAUUCAUCUCCGGGGGUAGAGCACUGUUUCGGCAAGGGGGUCAUCCCGACUUACCAACCCGAUGCAAACUGCGAAUACCGGAGAAUGUUAUCACGGGAGACACACGGCGGGUGCUAACGUCCGUCGUGAAGAGGGAAACAACCCAGACCGCCAGCUAAGGUCCCAAAGUCAUGGUUAAGUGGGAAACGAUGUGGGAAGGCCCAGACAGCCAGGAUGUUGGCUUAGAAGCAGCCAUCAUUUAAAGAAAGCGUAAUAGCUCACUGGUCGAGUCGGCCUGCGCGGAAGAUGUAACGGGGCUAAACCAUGCACCGAAGCUGCGGCAGCGACACUAUGUGUUGUUGGGUAGGGGAGCGUUCUGUAAGCCUGUGAAGGUGGCCUGUGAGGGUUGCUGGAGGUAUCAGAAGUGCGAAUGCUGACAUAAGUAACGAUAAAGCGGGUGAAAAGCCCGCUCGCCGGAAGACCAAGGGUUCCUGUCCAACGUUAAUCGGGGCAGGGUGAGUCGACCCCUAAGGCGAGGCCGAAAGGCGUAGUCGAUGGGAAACAGGUUAAUAUUCCUGUACUUGGUGUUACUGCGAAGGGGGGACGGAGAAGGCUAUGUUGGCCGGGCGACGGUUGUCCCGGUUUAAGCGUGUAGGCUGGUUUUCCAGGCAAAUCCGGAAAACCAAGGCUGAGGCGUGAUGACGAGGCACUACGGUGCUGAAGCGACAAAUGCCCUGCUUCCAGGAAAAGCCUCUAAGCAUCAGGUAACAUCAAAUCGUACCCAAAACCGACACAGGUGGUCAGGUAGAGAAUACCAAGGCGCUUGAGAGAACUCGGGUGAAGGAACUAGGCAAAAUGGUGCCGUAACUUCGGGAGAAGGCACGCUGAUAUGUAGGUGAAGCGACUCGCUCGUGGAGCUGAAAUCAGUCGAAGAUACCAGCUGGCUGCAACUGUUUAUUAAAAACACAGCACUGUGCAAACACGAAAGUGGACGUAUACGGUGUGACGCCUGCCCGGUGCCGGAAGGUUAAUUGAUGGGGUUAGCGGUAACGCGAAGCUCUUGAUCGAAGCCCCGGUAAACGGCGGCCGUAACUAUAACGGUCCUAAGGUAGCGAAAUUCCUUGUCGGGUAAGUUCCGACCUGCACGAAUGGCGUAAUGAUGGCCAGGCUGUCUCCACCCGAGACUCAGUGAAAUUGAACUCGCUGUGAAGAUGCAGUGUACCCGCGGCAAGACGGAAAGACCCCGUGAACCUUUACUAUAGCUUGACACUGAACAUUGAGCCUUGAUGUGUAGGAUAGGUGGGAGGCUUUGAAGUGUGGACGCCAGUCUGCAUGGAGCCGACCUUGAAAUACCACCCUUUAAUGUUUGAUGUUCUAACGUUGGCCCGUAAUCCGGGUUGCGGACAGUGUCUGGUGGGUAGUUUGACUGGGGCGGUCUCCUCCUAAAGAGUAACGGAGGAGCACGAAGGUUGGCUAAUCCUGGUCGGACAUCAGGAGGUUAGUGCAAUGGCAUAAGCCAGCUUGACUGCGAGCGUGACGGCGCGAGCAGGUGCGAAAGCAGGUCAUAGUGAUCCGGUGGUUCUGAAUGGAAGGGCCAUCGCUCAACGGAUAAAAGGUACUCCGGGGAUAACAGGCUGAUACCGCCCAAGAGUUCAUAUCGACGGCGGUGUUUGGCACCUCGAUGUCGGCUCAUCACAUCCUGGGGCUGAAGUAGGUCCCAAGGGUAUGGCUGUUCGCCAUUUAAAGUGGUACGCGAGCUGGGUUUAGAACGUCGUGAGACAGUUCGGUCCCUAUCUGCCGUGGGCGCUGGAGAACUGAGGGGGGCUGCUCCUAGUACGAGAGGACCGGAGUGGACGCAUCACUGGUGUUCGGGUUGUCAUGCCAAUGGCACUGCCCGGUAGCUAAAUGCGGAAGAGAUAAGUGCUGAAAGCAUCUAAGCACGAAACUUGCCCCGAGAUGAGUUCUCCCUGACUCCUUGAGGGUCCUGAAGGAACGUUGAAGACGACGACGUUGAUAGGCCGGGUGUGUAAGCGCAGCGAUGCGUUGAGCUAACCGGUACUAAUGAACCGUGAGGCUUAACCUU